AUUUAUUUCAUAAAACACUCUUUUUAUCAUUCAGAGUAUUUUAGAAUGGUGGCGAGGAUGAGUUGUAUUUUUUAACAAAAUUAAGCCGGCGCCCGCUCCUGCAGUUCCAGCGCCGGCUCCUGCGCCCGCUCCUGCAGUUCCCGCCGCCCCAGGAGCUGCAGUUCCCCCAAGACCGGUCGUACCUGGUGCACCCGCAGUUCCAGCCCCCGCUGUUCCAGGUGCAGUUCCAGCCCCCGCCGUUCCAGGUGCAGUUCCAGGUUAAUUAUUUUGUAAAAACUGCGCAGUCACGAAUGACUCCUCGUUUCCAUUCUCCACCCAACCCUUCCUCACAAUGCGGACUAAACUAAUCCAAUAUUUGACCUUACCUUAAUUUUGUUAAAAAAUACAACUCAUCCUCGCCACCAUUCUAAAAUACUCUGAAUGAUAAAAAGAGUGUUUUAUGAAAUAAAUAUUCACACACUCUUU